rnacentral:lncRNA from 1 species
UGUGAACAUUCGCUGUUCUUGUUUCCUGUCAAUUCCAUCCAUUUCUCCAGCAUAUUUUUUGCUCACUUCAAGAGGACAGAGCAGCCCCACCCCAGCUGCCUCCUGUCAGCUCACAGCCUGAAACAACAGAAUCAACUCUGAACUCAUGUCACAAACAAGAAGCCACAGGUAAGUCCUCAGCAAGAGGCAUGUGCCCCAGCCAC